CAGGCAACAAGGACAUUCUACUACCGCUAUGACAUUAUUCAUUACCGCUACAGGUGACAUUCUACUACCACUAUGACAUUAUUCAUUACCGCUACAGGUGACAUUCUACUACCGCUAUGACAUUAUUCAUUACCGCUACAGGCAACAAGGACAUUCUACUACCGCUAUGACAUUAUUCAUUACCGCUACAGGUGACAAGGACAUUCUACUACCGCUAUGACAUUAUUCAUUACCGCUACAGGCAACAAGGACAUUUUACUACCGCUAUGACAUUAUUCAUUACCGCUACAGGUGACAAGGACAUUCUACUACCGCUAUGACAUUAUUCAUUACCGCUACAGGUGACAUUCUACUACCGCUAUGACUUUAUUCAUUACCGCUACAGGUGACAUUCUACUACCGCUAUGACAUUAUUCAUUACCGCUACAGGUGACAAGGACAUUCUACU
ensembl:lncRNA